rnacentral:rRNA from 1 species
UACGUAGGGGGCAAGCGUUAUCCGGAUUUACUGGGUGCAAAGGGAGCGUAGACGGUUAUGUAAGUCUGGAGUGAAAGCCCGGGGCUCAACCCCGGCCCGCCGUUGAAACUGGCAGUCUCGAGUUGGAGAGAAGUAUGCGGAAUGCGCGGUGUAGCGGUGAAAUGCAUAGAUAUCGCGCAGAACCCCGAUUGCGAAGGCAGCAUACCGGUGCACAACUGACGCUCAGGCACGAAAGCGUGGGUAUCGAACAGG